rnacentral:rRNA from 1 species
UACGGAGGGUGCAAGCGUUAUCCGGAUUCACUGGGUUUAAAGGGUGCGUAGGUGGGCAAGUAAGUCAGUGGUGAAAUCUCCGGGCUUAACCCGGAAACUGCCAUUGAUACUAUUUGUCUUGAAUACUGUGGAGGUAAGCGGAAUAUGUCAUGUAGCGGUGAAAAUGCUUAGAUAUGACAUAGAACACCAAUUGCGAAGGCAGCUUACUACGGAUCGAUUGACACUGAGGCACGAAAGCGUGGGGAUCAAACAGG